AAGGUCUGUAGAUUAAUAGACGGCUGGGAUAAGGUCGUCGCAUGACUCAGUGCGCAUGCGCGGUCAGCCAUGUUUGAUGCUAUUCCCCACUCCUAAUGUUCACCACACAAUGUAAACAAACAGUGUAUGGCAUGUCAAAAAAAUUUCAACAUCAAAAUUUAAUCAUUUAUUUAUUGAAUAAAUAUUGUACGUCAACGUUGUGCGAUCGGUUGCUUCCCCCAGAGAUUUAGAUCAUCGUCGAAAAUGAUCUACUGGUGCUGGUGUGAGCCAAAUAAAACCAUGCUCAACGUUAUGUGAGAUAUAUUUAUAAAGAUCCAACAUAAUGAAUCUCAAUAUGAACAACAUCGUCAGGAUGGCUCAAAAAAAAUUAAAACCAAAUGCAGUACCAACUUUGUUUGGUGAUGUUUUGAUAGAUUUUUUAAGUAAAAUUCACCAAAAUACAAGUGACAACAUGAUGUUAAUUAGACUUCAUGUGAAUCACUAAAGCAGUUGUCAACAACAAACUUAGGUGAAUCCUUUUCCAGACCAUUGCUUGAUGUGAUCAUAGAUAAAUAUACCACUGACAACAAAAAGAGUUUAUUCAAGUUACCAAAGUCUAAUAAUACCAAAUGUUUACCAAGUGAUGAGCAGCAGAUUGAAUUGCCACUAGUAAACUUGGAUAAGGAUCAUUUAGUAUCAAUUCUUGCUGAUGAAUUACAAGCAGAAAUAAUAAAAAAAUAUAAUGAAGGAGUUAUUAAAUUUAAUUUCAUGCUUCAAAAUCAACAUUGUCUUUAUCACCACGAAAUUUCGAGUUUAAACUAGGAAGUAGAAAGCUUAAAAAAAAUAAAUAUUAGUUUAGACUGCGAAUUACGAGUUGAAUAAGAAAAAAGGAUACUGUCAGAAAGACAACGAGAAAAAAUUAAAAACAAGUUUAACAAGCUUCUUAAUGUAUUCGGAAAAUUGUCCAUUUUUAAAAAACCUUUUAAUUGAGUUAUUUUAUUCACUUAUUUAUAGUAUGCGACAGGCAAAAGCCUACUAAAGCCAGAAAAAUAUAUUUUGUUGUCAGAUAAAAAAUUGUAUUCGAUUAUUUUAUUUUUAUAUUGAAAAAGAAAAAAUUAUAUUAUUCUUCUUCUUCUUUUGUUUCACUUUUUUACAACUAUUUAUAUUAAACUGUCUGAUAACUUUGUCAAUUUUUCAGAAUAUUUAAUUAAUUAUUGAUUAAAAAAAAUUAAGUGUUAACUUCUUGUUGUAUACUGUUUCUGUAAUAGACCAGAUGUAAGCUAUAAAGAUGGUUUAAAUAAUGCGCGCCUAAAAGUCGGCCAUGUUUGAUGCUUGUGCGACGACCUUAUCCCAGCCGUCUAUUAAUCUACAGACCUUGAU
rnacentral:lncRNA from 1 species